CAGAAAUAGGAGUUCCUUGCAGCCCAAAACAUGUAGUAAAAAAUUCAUGCUGUUUUGGACUGAAGGGAGCUCCUAGUUCUU
rfam:Lupinus angustifolius cultivar Tanjil chromosome LG12, whole genome shotgun sequence.